rnacentral:rRNA from 1 species
UACGUGAGGGGCGAACGUUGUUCGGUGUCACUGGGCUUAAAGGGUGCGUAGGUGGUUGUGUAAGUAACGUGUGAAAUCCCCCGGCUUACCCGAGGAAUUGCGCGUUAUACUGCACGGCUUGAGGUACAGAGGGGAAAGAGGAACUCCAGGUGUAGCGGUGAAAUGCGCAGAUAUCUGGGGGAAGGCCGGCGGCGAAGGCGUCUUUCUGGCUGUAACCUGACACUGAGGCACGAAAGCGUGGGGAGCAAACAGG